AAGGAUUCUCCACUGCAGCAAAUCGGCAAGGACCACAACAAAUCAUCUCCAACUGAAACAACCAUAGAAGAGAAUAAGGGGAAAAUUGGGAUUUCUGUUCGGGGGGUCUGCGUCUCCAACUUCUAAAGUCCAGAUCGGGAUUCAGGGUUCGGGCUUGACUGUAAAUUGCAGUUAAGAAAGUCGCUGGGUCAGAUCCAAAAUCACACAUCAACUUUUUCUUCCUCCGAUUUUGCCACCGCGACCAGAGCUACGCCUACAGACACCUCGUCUUCUUCGGUUCGAUUUCUUCAAUUCAGGGCAAAGCUCAAUCCUAAACCGCAACUCUGAAAUUCAUUUUGCGCCACUGUCACGUUCGAAACCACCGUCCUUCAGCCACAUUUCCAGCUCGAUUUCUCAAUUCGGGGACGAAGAGGGCCUCAUCGAAGAAACAAAAAUAAAAGCUAAGUCUCUCUAGAUAUGUGUUAAUCAUGGGUUAAUUAGCAUUUUACAAUUUCCGAUUGUCUCGGUCUCGUGUAUAUUUGGGUUGCUCAGUUAUGGUUACAUGAGUUGUAAACAAACUUUCGACCAUUGCUAUAUCAACACAUUGAUUAAUACUAAGCAUGUCAUUUCUUGUGGCUUAAGGUGUUUGCUUUGGAUUUUUGGGUUUUAGGUACAGAAGAGGGGCUGAUGCCCACUGGAAUCACAGUUGUUAGGUUUACAUCGCAGGAAAAUUUAGAUUCCUCCCAUCGGAAUCCAGCAUAGACACUUCUCUGUUAAGCUGCGCAGCUAGCGCCACCUCUCUGCUCAGCCUGCGCAGCCAGCGCCGCCAGCUCCAUCGACCUGACCAAGCGCCUGGUGAAGAUACCGAGGCAGCGCAUCUAUCCAAUCAGCGCUGAAAUGUCACUCGAGGAUCGAGAAUAACACUCUGCUUCCAGAGAGGCCUGCGCGAAAAGUCUAUACUGAUCGAUCGCUGCUUGCUGUUAAUUCCAAAUUGCGA
rnacentral:lncRNA from 1 species